rnacentral:snRNA from 1 species
AGCUUUGCGCAGUGGCAGUAUCGUAGCCAAUGAAGUUUAUCCGAGGCGCGAUUAUUGCUAAUUGAAAGGCAAAUAAAUAAAAUAGCC